rnacentral:rRNA from 1 species
UACAGAGGGUGCGAGCGUUUAAUCGGAAUUACUGGGCGUAAAGCGCGCGUAGGCGGCUUUGCAAGUCGGGUGUGAAAUCCCCAGGCUUAACCUGGGAACUGCAUUCGAGACUGCAUUGCUAGAGUAUGGGAGAGGUGAGUGGAACUGCGAGUGUAGAGGUGAAAUUCGUAGAUAUUCGCAAGAACACCAGUGGCGAAGGCGGCUCACUGGCCCGGUACUGACGCUGAGGUGCGAAAGCGUGGGGAGCAAACAGG